GUCAAUUCUGAAAACAAAGAACUCGUGCAGCCGGUGUUAACCAUUGAGCCUAGUCGAGAGAGUUCAGCUUUAGCGAGUCCUACACCAACAGAAGAGGAGCUAUACCCAACCAGUGUUUCUUGGGCUUUCUUUAAUACCAACUCUUUCUCUGUACCUCCAUCUGCAUUUGGAGAGCCUGAGCAAUCUGCAAGCUUCUGAUGAACGCAAUAAUUAUACGAUUUCUGUCUGUUGGAAUUUCCCCAGCCUGUAUUUCUGCAAACAGAAGAUAUGCGGUUAAAGCUUGUACUGUUUUUCCUAUCUGAUUACACAAAAGAAAAAGUGAUAGUGUGAUUUUUAUAGAAUGAAGAGUAAAAUGCCUGUAAA